GGCGUCCACAACAUCACAUUGAAACACCAGUUCCCGUAUGAUCACCGAAGUUAAGCAACGUCGAGACUUGCCAGUAAGUAGAUGGGUGAUCGCUUAUCAAUACUGGGUGCUGUAAG